CCAUCUCUCCCACCCUCUUCCAUCUUAGCCACCUCAUCCAUCUCCAAUUCCUACGACCCAGCUCACCCAAACCCUAAAUCGAAAUUUUGGUUGAUUUAGGGUUUAUGCCUCAUCUUCCCCGUCUCUCUCUCACCUCAUUGGCUCUCUCAGUGAGGAGCCCGAUUCCAGUUUAGGGUUUAUGCCUCAUCUUCCUCGUUUCUCCCUUUCUCUCUUCGUAGCCAGCCACCACCAUGGAUUCUCGAGCUAUACUCGAUUCCGCUUUGUUUCAACUCACUCCUACUCGCACGAGAGUCGAUCUGGGCUCUUCUGUGAGAGUAAGAAGCAUAAGCUAGCUUCUAGAAUUUCAAACCUUUCGUCUCUCAUCUCCAAUUUGCUAGAGAUCAGAUCUCUAAAGGAGGUUACUCCAUCUCUCUUCAUCCUCCUUCUUUUCACUCUCCUUGGUUCACCAAAUCCACUUUUGAUCGAUUUGUAAACACGCCUGCGAUAAUCGAGAGAUUUGCGAAUCUGGAGAAAGAGAUCUUGUAGAUUGAGCAUUCUAUUCAAGCUAAUGAAAACGCCAAUGCUGCUGCUGAUGCUGAGCAAUUACAAACACAAGAUGGUGAAGCUAAUUCUGGAGUAAGUAGUAAUCUAAGGAAGUCGAACGAGUUAUUCAAGAAGGUAUUUGAGAAUGGCAAUGAGGUUACAGGAGAGGAAACCUCAAACUUCAACGUCUUCUUGAAACACAUAGGACAUUGCUACUGUAGGAUUUCGAUAAGUUUUGGUGGUUGCAGUGAAAGCCGUGCAGUAGAUACAGAGUCACUAUGUGUUCUAGCCGGAAAGGUGGUCUGGUCUGUUUGCAUUGAUGUUCACAUUUUUGACAAUGGAAUUGGCUGCAUUUCUUCUUCAUGUUCAGAGCUAUGGUGCAAGGCAGUGCAAGUGUGGAUCAGAGGACCUUGCUCUGUCCAUGACAUCAACUCUUACUCUCUCUCUCUCUCGGAACAAAUUGUAAAUGGUAACAUUUUUUUCCUUCUUCUUAUCUGAGUCAUUGCUUGACCUACUUAGUAGGAGUUGCUCAUGCUUCAUUUGAGUACAUCAAGUUCAUAAUGUGAGUUGGAAUAUCUUAUUGGAAGUUUUGGUAGUCUUGUGAAGGUUUGGAAUAUAUCUUAUUGCUCUGCUUGUUUUAUCCGUUUCAUUAUGUUUUUGUGUUUAUGUCUUGGUAUAGGUUCCCACAUUGCCUAUAUCUGUUAGUUGUCUAUUUGAACAUGUUGUAACGUUGAAUAAUAAGGUUUGUAGGUUUCCGCUCAUGUAUAGGUAACACUUACAAUUUAUGGUUUAUUUAUCUCUAUGUGAUUGCUAUGUGCUUAUAGGGUUAAUGGCAUAUUGUGGCUUCUCACGAUUCUUUUGUUUCAUAUGAGCAGAUAUAUAUGGAGAGGAUAACUAACAUGUCUUUUUCAUACAUUCAAAGUGAACUAGUAGCUGUUCAAUGGACUAUUUCAAGAAACGCUAAGUGAGCAGCUAAAAGAGAGUCUUUGCUACAACAAGUAAGAAAGGCUGGGUUACAUGUACAUGUCAUGUUAGUUUUAUUGUUAGUUUUAUUUUGUUUAAGACUUGGUGACACUUUGUUAUGUAAGACUUAU